GUGCUAUUGCGGGUGCUAUACAUGCAAGUCGAGCGAACAGAUAAGGAGCUUGCUCCUUUGACGUUAGCGGCGGACGGGUGAGUAACACGUGGGUAACCUACCUAUAAGACUGGAAUAACUCCGGGAAACCGGGGCUAAUGCCGGAUAACAUUUAGAACCGCAUGGUUCUAAAGUGAAAGAUGGUUUUGCUAUCACUUAUAGAUGGACCCGCGCCGUAUUAGCUAGUUGGUAAGGUAACGGCUUACCAAGGCAACGAUACGUAGCCGACCUGAGAGGGUGAUCGGCCACACUGGAACUGAGACACGGUCCAGACUCCUACGGGAGGCAGCAGUAGGGAAUCUUCCGCAAUGGGCGAAAGCCUGACGGAGCAACGCCGCGUGAGUGAUGAAGGUCUUCGGAUCGUAAAACUCUGUUAUUAGGGAAGAACAAAUGUGUAAGUAACUGUGCACGUCUUGACGGUACCUAAUCAGAAAGCCACGGCUAACUACGUGCCAGCAGCCGCGGUAAUACGUAGGUGGCAAGCGUUAUCCGGAAUUAUUGGGCGUAAAGCGCGGGUAGGCGGCUUCUUAAUUCUGAUGUGUAAGCCCCCGUCUCACCCGCGCAGGGUGUUUGAAUACCUGGAAGACUUUGCUUGCCGCACCGGGGGGCGGCGCC
rnacentral:rRNA from 1 species